rnacentral:rRNA from 1 species
GACGAACGCUGGCGGCGUGCCUAAUACAUGCAAGUAGAACGCUGAAGGAGGAGCUUGCUUCUCUGGAUGAGUUGCGAACGGGUGAGUAACGCGUAGGUAACCUGCCUGGUAGCGGGGGAUAACUAUUGGAAACGAUAGCUAAUACCGCAUAAGAGUGGAUGUUGCAUGACAUUUGCUUAAAAGGUGCACUUGCAUCACUACCAGAUGGACCUGCGUUGUAUUAGCUAGUUGGUGGGGUAACGGCUCACCAAGGCGACGAUGCAUAGCCGACCUGAGAGGGUGAUCGGCCACACUGGGACUGAGACACGGCCCAGACUCCUACGGGAGGCAGCAGUAGGGAAUCUUCGGCAAUGGACGGAAGUCUGACCGAGCAACGCCGCGUGAGUGAAGAAGGUUUUCGGAUCGUAAAGCUCUGUUGUAAGAGAAGAACGAGUGUGAGAGUGGAAAGUUCACACUGUGACGUAUCUACCAGAAAGGAC